UUCUCCUCACGUCAAAUUGGAUAUAAGUGUACAAAUAGUUUUUGUUUCGUUUUCCUAAAUCGUUCGUUCCACGGAGUCGUCGGACAACGUCGUUUGACAAGAAAUGUGUUUGAUUCGUAAUUCUACGAAGUUGUUCGUUUGAUACGACCAUCAGCAAUGAGUUCACUCAGCGAUAUCGUGAGCACUUGAGGAGGAGAGGCAACGUGCGAGGCCAGCAGCCAUGGAGUCAUAGUCGGAAUCCGGAAAAGAUGAUGAAGAUUGAUAUGUAGUUCGAUAAUAAAUGUUACAACUGUG